rnacentral:rRNA from 1 species
AACAGGAUUAGAUACCCUGGUAGUCCACGCCCUAAACGAUGUCAACUGGUUGUUGGGCCUCCACUGACUCAGUAACGAAGCUAACGCGUGAAGUUGACCGCCUGGGGAGUACGGCCGCAAGGUUGAAACUCAAAGGAAUUGACGGGGACCCGCACAAGCGGUGGAUGAUGUGGUUUAAUUCGAUGCAACGCGAAAAACCUUACCCACCUUUGACAUGUACGGAACUUGCCAGAGAUGGCUUGGUGCUCGAAAGAGAGCCGUAACACAGGUGCUGCAUGGCUGUCGUCAGCUCGUGUCGUGGGAUGUUGGGUUAAGUCCCGCAACGAGCGCAACCCUUGUCAUUAGUUGCUACAUUUAGUUGGGCACUCUAAUGAGACUGCCGGUGACAAACCGGAGGAAGGUGGGGAUGACGUCAAGUCCUCAUGGCCCUUAUAGGUGGGGCUACACACGUCAUACAAUGACUGGUACAAAGGGUUGCCAACCCGCGAGGGGGAGCUAAUCCCAUAAAGCCAGUCGUAGUCCGGAUCGCAGUCUGCAACUCGACUGCGUGAAGUCGGAAUCGCUAGUAAUCGUGGAUCAGAAUGUCACGGUGAAUACGUUCCCGGGUCUUGUACACACCGCCCGUCACACCAUGGGAGCGGGUUCUGCCAGAAGUAGUUAGCCUAACCGCAAGGAGGGCGAUUGCCACGGCAGGGUUCGUGACUGGGGUGAAGUCGUAACAAGGUAACC